rnacentral:rRNA from 1 species
AUUGAACGCUGGCGGCAUGCUUUACACAUGCAAGUCGAACAGCAGCGCGGGCUUCGGCCUGGCGGCGAGUGGCGAACGGGUGGGUAAUACAUCGGAACGUGCCCAGUAGUGGGGGAUAGCUCGGCGAAAGCCGGAUUAAUACCGCAUACGACCUGAGGGUGAAAGCGGGGGAUCUUCGGACCUCGCGCUAUUGGAGCGGCCGAUGGCAGAUUAGCUAGUUGGUGGGGUAAAGGCCUACCAAGGCGACGAUCUGUAGCUGGUCUGAGAGGACGACCAGCCACACUGGGACUGAGACACGGCCCAGACUCCUACGGGAGGCAGCAGUGGGGAAUUUUGGACAAUGGGCGAAAGCCUGAUCCAGCAAUGCCGCGUGUGUGAUGAAGGCCUUCGGGUUGUAAAGCACUUUUGGCGGGAACGAAAAGGACUGUGCCAAUACCACGGUUCGAUGACGGUACCCGCAGAAUAAGCACCGGCUAACUACGUG